rnacentral:tRNA from 1 species
GCCCCCAUAGUUCAAUGGAUAGAAUGCGAGCUUGCGGAGUUUGCGAUGUAGGUUCGAUUCCUACUGGGGGCA